rnacentral:rRNA from 1 species
UACGUAGGGGGCUAGCGUUGUCCGGAAUCAUUGGGCGUAAAGCGCGUGUAGGCGGUCCGGUAAGUCCGCUGUGAAAGUCGAGGGCUCAACCCUCGAAUGCCGGUGGAUACUGUCGGGCUUGAGUACGGGAGAGGCGAGUGGAAUUCCUGGUGUAGCGGUGAAACGCGCAGAUAUCAGGAGGAACACCGAUUGCGAAGGCAGCUCGCUGGAACGUUACUGACGCUGAGACGCGAAAGCGUGGGGAGCAAACAGG